rnacentral:rRNA from 1 species
AUUGAACGCUGGCGGCAGGCCUAACACAUGCAAGUCGCACGAGUGGCGGACGGGAGAGUAAUGCUUGUGACUCUAGCUUAUGGAGGGGGAUAACUACGGGAAACUGUAGCUAAUACCGCGUACCAUAGGAUGAGCCUAAGUGGGAGGAGGUAGUUGGUGAGGUAAAGGCUCACCAAGCCGACGAACUCUAGCUGGUCUGAGAGGAUGACCAGCCACACUGGGACUGAGACCAGGCCCAGAAUCCUACGGGAGGCAGCAGUGGGGAAUAUUGCACAAUGGGGGCAAGCUGAUGCAGCAAUGCCGCGUGAAUGAAGAAGGUCUGCGGGGUGUAAAGUUCUUUCAGUGGGGAGGCGUUAACGACAGAAGAAGCACCGGCUAACUCCGUGCCAGCAGCCGCGGUAAUUC